CAGCAGCCGCGGUAAUACGUAGGUCCCGAGCGUUGUCCGGAUUUAUUGGGCGUAAAGCGAGCGCAGGCGGUUAGAUAAGUCUGAAGUUAAAGGCUGUGGCUUAACCAUAGUACGCUUUGGAAACUGUUUAACUUGAGUGCAAGAGGGGAGAGUGGAAUUCCAUGUGUAGCGGCGAAAUGCGUAGAUAUAUGGAGGAACACCGGUGGCGAAAGCGGCUCUCUGGCUUGUAACUGACGCUGAGGCUCGAAAGCGUGGGGAGCAAACAGGAUUAGAUACCCCCGUAGUCCCUGUCUCUUAUACC
rnacentral:rRNA from 1 species